GGCUGAAACUCGCCUACAUGAAGCUGGAGUUACUAGUAAUCGCAGAUCAGAAUGCUGCGGUGAAUGCGUUCCCGGGUCUUGUACACACCGCCCGUCACACCACGGAAGUUGGGGGCGCCCGAAGCCACUUAGCUAACCCUUUUGGGAAGCGAGUGUCGAAGGUGAAAUCAAUAACUGGGGUGAAGUCGUAACAAGGUAGC
rnacentral:rRNA from 1 species